rnacentral:rRNA from 1 species
CCUACGUGCGGCAGCAGUGAGGAAUAUUGGUCAAUGGGCGCGAGCCUGAACCAGCCAAGUCGCGUGAGGGAAGACGGUCCUAUGGAUUGUAAACCUCUUUUGUCGGGGAGCAAAAGACGCCCCGCGUGGCGUUCCGAGAGUACCCGAAGAAAAAGCAUCGGCUAACUCCGUGCCAGCAGCCGCGGUAAUACGGAGGAUGCGAGCGUUAUCCGGAUUUAUUGGGUUUAAAGGGUGCGCAGGCGGAAGAUCAAGGCAGCGGUAAAAUUGAGAGGCUCAACCUCUUCGAGCCGUUGAAACUGGUUUUCUUGAGUGAGUGAGAAGUAUGCGGAAUGCGUGGUGUAGCGGUGAAAUGCAUAGAUAUCACGCAGAACUCCGAUUGCGAAGGCAGCAUACCGGCGCUCAACUGACGCUCAUGCACGAAAGUGUGGGUAUCGAACAGGAUUGGAUACCCCAGUAGUC